CAAUGCCUAUAUAUCUUUGCCUCCCGCCAUUUUCAGCUCAUCAUGUUCGCGCGCGCGCGCUGCUUACGCGCUCCAGCCUCUUUCCCUCGUUACCGCCUGCAUGCCACCAUUGUAGUAGUUGGGAUCAGCGUGGAUGGUCAUCGGUAUCUUCUGCAGGUCAGGAGCAAUGGGCUGGUUACGAGCAGGGCUUCGGUGAAGAUGAUCUGACCAGCCAGCGAUAUGGCAGUGUAUCAUCCCCAGAUGGGUCGUUAAUGUUAGAGGUUGGGUUGUAUAUCUACAGGACUGAUCUGAUCAAAACAUGCAAGCUGGGUACUCAAUUAUGUCCAAGCGAAGAGGGUUCUGCAUUCAGUCUGUGUUGCUACAUGCAUGUUCUCAGUUUCUUUGUUCCUGUUGAGGGAACUAUAUAUUCUUAGUUAAGCAAGAGAAUUACUACUUGAA